rnacentral:rRNA from 1 species
GGUCUGAGAGGAUGAUCCGCCACACUCAGACUGAGACACCGCCCAGACUCCUACGGGAGGCAGCAGUGGGGAAUUUUGGAGAAUGGGCGUAAGCCUGAUCCAGCCAUGCCGCGUGUCUGAAGAAGGCCUUCGGGUUGUAAAGGACUUUUGUCCGGGAGCAAAUCCCAGUGGUUAAUACCUACUGGGGCUGAGAGUACCGGAAGAAUAAGCACCGGCUAACUACGUGCCAGCAGCCGCGGUAAUACGUAGGGUGCAAGCGUUAAUCGGAAUUACUGGGCGUAAAGCGUGCGCAGGCGGUUGUGCAAGUCUGAUGUGAAAGCCCCGGGCUUAACCUGGGAACGGCAUUGGAGACUG